GAUAAACGCUGGCGGCGCACAUAAGACAUGCAAGUCGAACGAACUUAAUUGAGAGCUUGCUCUCAAAGCGGUUAGUGGCGGACUGGUGAGUAACACGUAAGCAACCUGCCUAUUAGAGGGGAAUAACAGCGAGAAAUCGUUGCUAAUACCGCAUAUGCUGUGAGUAUCGCAUGAUACAAGCAGGAAAGGAGCAAUCCGCUAAUAGAUGGGCUUGCGUCUGAUUAGUUAGUUGGUGGGGUAACGGCCUACCAAGACGAUGAUCAGUAGCCGGACUGAGAGGUUGAACGGCCACAUUGGGACUGAGAUACGGCCCAGACUCCUACGGGAGGCAGCAGUCGGGAAUAUUGCGCAAUGGAGGAAACUCUGACGCAGUGACGCCGCGUGCAGGAAGAAGGUUUUCGGAUUGUAAACUGCUUUUAACAGGAAAGAAAAAAAUGACGGUACCUGUU
rnacentral:rRNA from 1 species